UGUGGGAGCGAGCUUGCUCGCGAUGGCGUCGGUCCAUCCAGCAUCUGUGUUGUUUGAUACACCGCUAUCGCGAGCAGGCUCGCUCCCACA
rnacentral:misc_RNA from 1 species